rnacentral:rRNA from 1 species
GCUGGCGGCUUGCUUUACACAUGCAAGUCGGACGGCAGCACAGAGAAGCUUGCUUCUUGGGUGGCGAGUGGCGAACGGGUGAGUAAUAUAUCGGAACGUACCGAGCAGUGGGGGAUAACUAAUCGAAAGAUUAGCUAAUACCGCAUAUUUUCUGAGGAAGAAAGCAGGGGACCAUUUGGCCUUGCGCUGUUUGAGCGGCCGAUAUCUGAUUAGCUAGUUGGUGGGGUAAAGGCCUACCAAGGCGACGAUCAGUAGCAGGUCUGAGAGGAUGAUCCGCCACACUGGGACUGAGACACGGCCCAGACUCCUACGGGAGGCAGCAGUGGGGAAUUUUGGACAAUGGGCGCAAGCCUGAUCCAGCCAUGCCGCGUGUCUGAAGAAGGCCUUCGGGUUGUAAAGGACUUUUGUCAGGGAAGAAAAGGGCGGGGUUAAUACCCCUGUCUGAUGACGGUACCUGAAGAAUAAGCACCGGCUAACUACGUGC